rnacentral:rRNA from 1 species
GAUUGGGAUGACUUGUGGCUAGGGGUGAAAGGCCAAUCAAACUCGGAAAUAGCUGGUUCUCCGCGAAAUCUAUUUAGGUAGAGCGUCGACCGAAUACCCUCGGGGGUAGAGCACUGGAUGGGCUAUGGGGACUCACCGUCUUACUGAUCCUAACCAAACUCCGAAUACCGAGGAGUACUAGUCGGCAGACACACGGCGGGUGCUAACGUCCGUCGUGAAAAGGGCAACAACCCUGACCUCCAGCUAAGGUCCCCAAGUCAUGGCUAAGUGGGAAAGGAUGUGAGGAUCCCAAAACAACCAGGAUGUUGGCUUAGAAGCAGCCAUCAUUUAAAGAAAGCGUAACAGCUCACUGGUCUAAAUAAGGGUCUUUGCGCCGAAAAUGUAACGGGGCUAAAGCCAUGCACCGAAGCUGAGGAUUUGCAGUAAUGCAAGUGGUAGCGGAGCGUUCCGUAAGUCUGUGAAGGCGGACCCGUGAGGGCUGCUGGAGAUAUCGGAAGUGCGAAUGUUGACAUGAGUAACGAUAAAGGGAGUGAGAGACUCCCUCGCCGAAAGACCAAGGGUUCCUGCUUAAAGUUAAUCUGAGCAGGGUUAGCCGGCCCCUAAGACGAGGCGGACACGCGUAGUCGAUGGGAACCACGUUAAUAUUCGUGGGCCUGGUGGUAGUGACGGAUCUCGUGUGUUGUACAUUCUUAUUGGAUUGAAUGUGCGGCGAAGAGGUUCCAGGAAAUAGCUCCACCGUAUAGACCGUACCCGAAACCGACACAGGUGGUCAGGUAGAGUAUACCAAGGCGCUUGAGAGAACUAUGUUGAAGGAACUCGGCAAAUUGCACGCGUAACUUCGGAAGAAGCGUGACCCCAUUUUAGGCAACUAUGAUGGGGUGGCACAGACCAGGGGGUAGCGACUGUUUAUCAAAAACACAGGGCUCUGCGAAGUAGCAAUACGACGUAUAGGGUCUGACGCCUGCCCGGUGCUGGAAGGUUAAAGGGAGGGGUGCAAGCUCUGAACUGAAGCCCCAGUAAACGGCGGCCGUAACUAUAACGGUCCUAAGGUAGCGAAAUUCCUUGUCGGGUAAGUUCCGACCUGCACGAAUGGCGUAACGACUUCC